CACGGGUGCUUGCACCUGGUGGCGAGUGGCGAACGGGUGUAUUAAUACAUCGGAACAUGUCCUGUAGUGGGGGAUAGCCCGGCGAAAGCCGGAUUAAUACCGCAUACGAUCUACGGAUGAAAGCGGGGGACCUUCGGGCCUCGCGCUAUAGGGUUGGCCGAUGGCUGAUUAGCUAGUUGGUGGGGUAAAGGCCCACCAAGGCGACGAUCAGUAGCUGGUCUGAGAGGACGACCAGCCACACUGGGACUGAGACACGGCCCAGACUCCUACGGGAGGCAGCAGUGGGGAAUUUUGGACAAUGGGCGAAAGCCUGAUCCAGCAAUGCCGCGUGUGUGAAGAAGGCCUUCGGGUUGUAAAGCACUUUUGUCCGGAAAGAAAUCCUGAGGGCUAAUAUCCUUCGGGGAUGACGGUACCGGAAGAAUAAGCACCGGCUAACUACGUGCCAGCAGCCGCGGUAAUACGUAGGGUGCGAGCGUUAAUCGGAAUUACUGGGCGUAAAGCGUGCGCAGGCGGUUUGUUAAGACCGAUGUGAAAUCCCCGGGCUCAACCUGGGAACUGCAUUGGUGACUGGCAAGCUAGAGUAUGGCAGAGGGGGGUAGAAUUCCCACGUGUAGCAGUGAAAUGCGUAGAGAUGUGGAGGAAUACCGAUGGCGAAAGGCAGCCCCCUGGGCCAAUACUGACGCUCAUGCACGAAAGCGUGGGGAGCAAACAGGAUUAGAUACCCUGGUAGUCCACGCCCUAAACGAUGUCAACUAGUUGUGGGGAUUCAUUUCCUUAGUACGUAGCUAACGCGUGAGUGACGCUGGGGGAGUACGGUCGCAGAUUAAACUCAAGGAAUUGACGGGACCCGCAC
rnacentral:rRNA from 1 species